rnacentral:rRNA from 1 species
CUUGAACGCUAGCGGGAUGCCUUACACAUGCAAGUCGAACGGAGUGGCGAACGGGUGAGUAAUGUAUCGGAACGUGACCAGUAGCGGGGGAUAACUACGCGAAAGCGUAGCUAAUACCGCAUACUAUUGGAGCGGCCGAGAUCGGAUUAGCUAGUUGGUGGGGUAACGGCUAACCAAGGAGACGAUCCGUAGCUGGUUGUAGAGGACGACCAGCGACACUGGGACUGAGCCACGUCCCAGACUCCUACGGGAGGCAGCAGUGGGGAAUUUUGGACAAUGGGGGAAACCCUGAUCCAGCCAUCCCGCGUGUGCGAUGAAGGCCUUCGGGUUGUAAAGCACUUUUGGCAUGAAAGCGGUACCUGCAGAAUAAGCACCGGCUAACUACGUGCCAGCAGCCGCGGUAAUUC